rnacentral:lncRNA from 1 species
AUGACACAGUCUGUCUGAUGUGUCGUGUUGUGUUGUGGUUUCAGUUUCGACCCAAUGAUUCGUCUGACAAAGACAUUUGCGUGCUGCAGGCCCAGGCAUGGAUCAAAGCUGGAUGAAGCACAUCCCACCUCAUCACCCAAACAGAUGUAAAGAACUUGGGAACCUCCCAUCCACCAGGAAAAUCACCCUAUCCCAGGAGUUAGUCAGGAGUUUAUUCAGCAGUGUGCAGCAUCACUAUGUUAGAAGUAGAUCCAAACAUUAUUCUCUGUCAUGCAGAAUUGUCAUCUUAUUGUAGCUUAUUAUAAAAUAGACGUGGGUG